UCAAGCGAAUAAGGGCUGACGGUGGAUACCUAGGCACGCAGCGGCGAAGAAGGACGUGGUUACCGACGAUAUGCUCCGGGGAGUUGGAAGCAAACAUUGAGCCGGAGAUUUCCGAAUGGGGCAACCCUAUAUACUACUUGUUGAACACAUAGACAAGUGAGAGCCAACCCAGCGAAUUGAAACAUCUUAGUAGCUGGAGGAAAAGAAAUCAAACGAGAUUCCCUUAGUAGUGGUGAGCGAAGGGGGAAGAGCCUAAACCAAAAUACAUGUAUUUUGGGGUAGUGGGACAGCGACAUGGAAUCGAGCGAUUAGACGAAGCAUUUAAUCGAUGCACCAAAGAAAGUAAAAGUCUUGUAGUCGAAAAUUUAACGAUACUAGCUGAAUCCCGAGUAGCAUGGAGCACGUGAAAUUCCAUGUGAAUCAGCCACGACCACGUGGUAAGGCUAAAUACGUCUGCGUGAGCGAUAGCGAACAAGUACCGCGAGGGAAAGGUGAAAAGAACCCCGUUGAGGGGAGUGAAAUAGAACAUGAAACCGUCAGCUUACAAGCAGUGGGAGUUCGAUUAAACGAAUGACCGCGUGCCUGUUGAAGAAUGAGCCGGCGAGUUAUAUGUGCUGGUAGGUUAAGUAGUAGUUACGAAGCCAAAGCGAAAGCGAGUCUGAAUAGGGCGAUUAUCAGUAUGUAUAGACCCGAACCCUGGCGAUCUAACCAUGUCCAGGAUGAAGCUUGGGUAACACCAAGUGAAGGUCCGAACCGACUAAUGUUGAAAAAUUAGCGGAUGAGGUGUGGUUAGGGGUGAAAUGCCAAUCGAGCCAGGAGCUAGCUGGUUCUCCCCGAAAUGUGUUUAGGCGCAGCGGUGAAUAUUAAGCUUUGGGGGUAAAGCACUGUUUCGGUGCGGGCUGGGAGACCGGUACCAAAUCGAGACAAACUCAGAAUACCAAAGUGUACUAUCACUAGUAAGACGGUGAGGGAUAAGCUUCAUCGUCAAGAGGGAAACAGCCCAGACCACCAGCUAAGGUCCCCAAAUCAAUGUUAAGUGGGAAAGGAGGUGCAAGUGCAAAGACAACCAGGAGGUUUGCCUAGAAGCAGCCACCCUAGAAUGAGUGCGUAAUAGCUCACUGGUCAAGCGCUUGCGCGCCGAAAAUGAACGGGACUAAACAUUGUACCGAAGCUGUGGACUUGAAAAAGUGGUAGGGGAGCGUUCUAUUUGAUGCGAAGCAGUAGCGGCGAGCAGCUGUGGAUUGAAUAGAAGUGAGAAUGUCGGCUUGAGUAGCGCAAAUAUUGGUGAGAAUCCAAUACCCCGAAACCCCAAGGGUUCCAGAGGCAGGUUCGUCCACUCUGGGUAAGUCGGGACCUAAGGCGAGGGCGAAAGCCGUAGUCGAUGGACAUGAGGUUAAUAUUCCUCAACUAGAAUUGUGGAGCAUUAUUUGGGACGCACCGUUGAAGCAACUAUGCCCUGAUUGGAUUGGGAGGGGAAUACGUUCUCCGUUUAGUUGUGAUUGGUGUCAAGAAAAGCAAUUAAUGUGUUGAAGCAGUUAUACCCGUACUCGAAACCGACACAGGUGGGGAGGUAGAGAAUACCAAGGGGCGCGAGAUAACUCUCUCUAAGGAACUCGGCAAAAUAGCCCCGUAACUUCGGAAGAAGGGGUGCCCAGUGAAAACUGGGUCGCAGUGAAUAGGUCCAGGCGACUGUUUACCAAAAACACAGGUCUCUGCAAACGAGUAAUCGGAAGUAUAGGGGCUGACGCCUGCCCAGUGCCGGAAGGUUAAGGAAGUUGGUCAGGGGGAAACUUUAAAGCUGACGACCGAAGCCCCGGUGAACGGCGGCCGUAACUAUAACGGUCCUAAGGUAGCGAAAUUCCUUGUCGGGUAAGUUCCGACCCGCACGAAAGGCGUAACGAUCUGGACGGUGUCUCGGAGAGAGACUCGGCGAAAUAGGAUUGUCUGUGAAGAUACGGACUGCCUGCACCUGGACAGAAAGACCCUAUGAAGCUUUACUGUAGCCUGGAAUUGUGUUCGGGCUUGGCUUGCGCAGGAUAGGUGGGAAGCGUAGAGACAUUCCUUGUGGGGAAUGUGGAGCUAACGGUGAGAUACCACUCUGGCGAAGCUAGAAUUCUAACCAAUAUCCGUAAUCCGGAAUUGGAACAUUUUCAGGUGGGCAGUUUGACUGGGGCGGUCGCCUCCUAAAAGGUAACGGAGGCGCGCAAUGGUUCUCUCAGCACGGUUGGAAAUCGUGCGUCGAGUGUAAAGGCAAUAAGAGAGCUUGACUGUGAUACCAACAAGUAGAACAGGUACGAAAGUAGGCCUUAGUGAUCCGACGGCGCAGAGUGGAAUGGCCGUCGCUCAACGGAUAAAAGUUACUCUAGGGAUAACAGGCUGAUCUCCCCCAAGAGUCCACAUCGACGGGGAGGUUUGGCACCUCGAUGUCGGCUCAUCGCAACCUGGGGCGGAAGUACGUCCCAAGGGUUGGGCUGUUCGCCCAUUAAAGCGGUACGUGAGCUGGGUUCAGAACGUCGUGAGACAGUUCGGUCCAUAUCCGGUGCAGGCGUAAGAACAUUGAGAGGAGCCUUCCUUAGUACGAGAGGACCGGGAAGGACGAACCGCUGGUGUGCCAGUUAUUCCGCCAGGAGUAAACGCUGGGUAGCCAUGUUCGGAGCGGAUAACCGCUGAAAGCAUCUAAGUGGGAAGCCCACCUCAAGAUGAGUGUUCUCAUCACUAUAAGUGAGUAAGGUCACACGUAGAACACGUGUUAAUAGGCUUUAGGUGGAAGCGUGGUAACAUGCGAAGCCGAGAAGUACUAACAGACCGAGGGCUUGACC
rnacentral:rRNA from 1 species